UAACAUCGGCUACUACGAAACGCCAAG
rnacentral:sRNA from 1 species